UACGUAGGGGACGAGCGUUGUCCGGAUUCAUUGGGCGUAAAGCGCGCGUAGGCGGUUACGCAAGUCGGGUGUGAAAAUCCGGGGCUCAACCCCGGACCUGCAUCCGAUACUGCGUGACUAGAGGUCGGUAGGGGAGAUCGGAAUUCCUGGUGUAGCGGUGAAAUGCGCAGAUAUCAGGAGGAACACCGGUGGCGAAGGCGGGUCUCUGGGCCGUAACUGACGCUGAGGAGCGAAAGCAUGGGGAGCGAACAGG
rnacentral:rRNA from 1 species